rnacentral:rRNA from 1 species
UCUGGUGGCGAUAGCGAAGAGGUCACACCCGUUCCCAUACCGAACACGGAAGUUAAGCUCUUUAGCGCCAAUGGUAGUUGGGACUUUGUCCCUGUGAGAGUA